AGGCGACAUAGCCAAGUGGUAAGGCAGUGGACUGCAACUCCUUGAUCUCCAGUUCGAAUCUGGAUGUCGCCUCCAA
rnacentral:tRNA from 1 species